GGAUCCUGGUGUAACCAGAAGGCCCCGGGCCUGCGGCCUUGGUAGCCAGGCCACCCGCUGCCCUGAUGAGGCUGCUGGGAGUGAGUAUUCCAGCUCUGCGUGGUCCUUUCGUCUUGUGAAAGAGAAAAACAUUGAACUACAACUUUAAGCUCUUCAUUUGAAGAAAGUUACAGUUCAGACACUGGAGAUUUUUGUCACCAAUAUUUCAAGCUGGGCUCAUCCUUGGAGACCUCGACUGGGCUUCGCCUUCUUCAUUCCAGUGAGGUCACGCACCUCCACCCUGCUCCUGCCUCUGCAGCAUGGAACACAUCAAUUUCCUUGUCAGUAAGUUCUUCUAGAGAAGGAAUUCUUCUUUCCCCUACUUCGGUAUCCUCAUGUCUGAUGAUGGAUGAAUGAAUUAUGUGUGGCCCUAAGAACUCCAAGGCAAAAAUAUAAACAGUUCAGCAAAUUGCUAAAUUUUUACAUUAAUGUUCUCCUGCCAUUUUUGAGGGAUUUUCUUAAUGUCAACUAGCUCAAUGUAGGAGCUGGUCACCAAGCUGUCACGGGGCUGAGGAGUGUCAGGUGGGGAGAUAAUCUAAUACAACUACUUUUUUUUUUUUUUUUGAUGGA
rnacentral:lncRNA from 1 species